rnacentral:rRNA from 1 species
UACAGAGGGUGCAAGCGUUGCUCGGAUUUACUGGGCGUAAAGCGUGCGCAGACGGCUGAGCAAGUUGGACGUGAAAGUCUGGGGCUCAACUCCAGAAUUGCGUUCAAUACUACUCGGCUCGAGUAUGAGAGAGGGAAGUGGAAUUCCUGGUGUAGAGGUGAAAUUCGUAGAUAUCAGGAGGAACACCAGCGGCGAAGGCGGCUUCCUGGCUCAUUACUGACGUUCAGGCACGAAAGCGUGGGGAGCAACCAGG